AAGAGAUCAAAACUGCUGUCUGGCCUUUUCCUGUCAGCUCUCCUGACAGCUGGCCUUUUCCUGUCAACACCCAGCUCUCUCUCACACACUCUCACUUACACCCUCUCUCCUUCUCACACCCUCCUUCUUCUCAAGACUUGGCUCCUCCCAACUACUCUGGCCAAUCCUAAGAGUCUCCAAACUCCUCUCCUUUUCCAACCUUCCACACUCACAAUGGCUGACUCCCUGGCUUUCUCUCCCAAAAUCAAGGCCUACCAUACUGUUAUCCAGGUUCCCUUUCUGGCCUACCAGGGCAAGAGUGGAGGAGACUGGAACUGGAAUUUUUCUGUUAUUUUAAUCUGAGAUCUGAUUCAAACCACAACAUGCCACUAGUCUUCCCAGCUGGAAGGCAUUCCCUGGGGCCAGGCUGUGGCACAGGCUGUUGAGCAACCAGCUGCAGCCAGCUGCAACAAAUCGCUCUGAACAAGAGGUCAUGAGUUCGAGGCCAGCUCGGAGCCCCGUGUUUGUCUUGUCUUUGUUCUAUGUUAAGGCAUUGAAUGUUUGCCUUAUAUGUGUAAUGUGAUCCACCCUGAGACCCCUUCGGGGUGAGAAGGCAGAAUAUAAAUACUGUAAAUAAAUAAAUAAUAAGAAGGAGUAGUCUGGUUUUCUGUUGCCCUGGAGACAAGGAUUCGGAGCAAUGGGUUCAAACUACAGGAAAGGAUAUUCCACCUGAACAUUAAGAGGAACUUCCUGACUGUAAGAGUUGUUCAGCAGUGGAACCCUCUGCCUCAGGGUGUGGUGGAAGCUCCUUCUUUGGAGGCUUUUAAACAGAGGCUGGAAGACCAUCUAUUGGGGCUGCUUUGAUUGUGCUUUUCCUGUAUGACACAUAGCCUCUUCCAACUCUUCCAAUAAUAGAUUCUAUGACACUUAGAAGACUAGCUCAAAAUCA